rnacentral:misc_RNA from 1 species
GAACGCAUAUUGCGCUCUCUGGUAUUCCGGAGAGCAUGCUUGUUUGAGUAUCAGUAAACACCUCAACUCCCCUUUCUUUUUUUGAAAUGGGAGCUGGACUUGAGUGAUCCCAACGCUUUUCUCACCGAAAAGUGGCGGGUUACUUUAAAUGCAGGUGCAGCUGGACUUUUCUCUGAGCUAAAAGCAUAUCUAUUUAGUCCUCGUCAAACAGGAUUAUUACUUUUGCUGCAGCUAACAUAAAGGAUAAUUGUCCUCUUUGCUGACUGAUGCAGGAUUUUACGACACUUUAUGUGUUGUUCAACUCGAUCUCAAAUCAAGUAAGACUACCCGCUGAACUUAAG